rnacentral:rRNA from 1 species
ACGUUGACGGUAUUUAACCAGAAAGUCACGGCUAACUACGUGCCAGCAGCCGCGGUAAUACGUAGGUGGCAAGCGUUAUCCGGAUUUAUUGGGCGUAAAGAGAGUGCAGGCGGUUUUCUAAGUCUGAUGUGAAAGCCUUCGGCUUAACCGGAGAAGUGCAUCGGAAACUGGAUAACUUGAGUGCAGAAGAGGGUAGUGGAACUCCAUGUGUAGCGGUGGAAUGCGUAGAUAUAUGGAAGAACACCAGUGGCGAAGGCGGCUACCUGGUCUGCAACUGACGCUGAGACUCGAAAGCAUGGGUAGCGAACAGGAUUAGAUACCCUGGUAGUCCAUGCCGUAAACGAUGAGUGCUAGGUGUUGGAGGGUUUCCGCCCUUCAGUGCCGGAGCUAACGCAUUAAGCACUCCGCCUGGGGAGUACGACCGCAAGGUUGAAACUCAAAGGAAUUGACGGGGGCCCGCACAAGCGGUGGAGCAUGUGGUUUAAUUCGAAGCUACGCGAAGAACCUUACCAGGUCUUGACAUCUUGCGCCAACCCUAGAGAUAGGGCGUUUCCUUCGGGAACGCAAUGACAGGUGGUGCAUGGUCGUCGUCAGCUCGUGUCGUGAGAUGUUGGGUUAAGUCCCGCAACGAGCGCAACCCUUGUUACUAGUUGCCAGCAUUAAGUUGGGCACUCUAGUGAGACUGCCGGUGACAAACCGGAGGAAGGUGGGGACGACGUCAGAUCAUCAUGCCCCUUAUGACCUGGGCUACACACGUGCUACAAUGGACGGUACAACGAGUCGCGAACUCGCGAGGGCAAGCAAAUCUCUUAAAACCGUUCUCAGUUCGGACUGCAGGCUGCAACUCGCCUGCACGAAGUCGGAAUCGCUAGUAAUCGCGGAUCAGCAUGCCGCGGUGAAUACGUUCCCGGGCCUUGUACACACCGCCCGUCACACCAUGAGAGUUUGUAACACCCAAAGUCGGUGGGGUAACCUUUUAGGAGCCAGCCGCCUAAGGGUACAGA